ensembl:lncRNA
CAACAAUAUAAGUAACAGAAAAAAAAACAAAAAGAAUACGAAAAAAAAUGUACUCAAUAAUGCCAAAGGAGGUAUGACCAACGGUGUCAAAAUAAACAGUGAGAAAAGCACUACCAGUAACAUAAGUAUUGAUAGUAGAAUAAAUAAAAAUAGUGAAAACAAAAAGUAUACGGAAAAUAUUUAUGAACGUAUAGAAAAAAUCACUAAUUUUUUUAUUAAUAAUAAAAAUGAUAAUAACUUUAUGAAUAAAAUAAAAAAUUUUACCAAUAAUAAAAAUAAACAUUUUGAAGAUAAAGAAAUAUUAAAUAUGUUACAAACAUAUUUGAAAGGUGAGUUGUUAAAUCAAAAUAAUAAUAAUUUUUGUGAAUGGUCUUAUGAUAAACAACACGAUAAAGAAAAAAACGAAAGUGGUUAUAACUACAACAGUUACAAUAGUUACAACAGCUACAAUAGUUACAACAGCUACAAUAGUUACAACAAAUACAAUAGUUACAACAAAUACAAUAGAUGUAACGGAAAUAACGACUACAAAAAUGGUAAUAAUAAAUUUUUAUACAAUUCUUUAAAUAAUAACGAGUUAUAUAAAAAUAAAUUAAAAAAAAAUACAUGUUAUCGUGAUGAUAUAAUUGAAAGUAAUGCAACUAGUUUCGAUGUCCUUGCUUCAUGUAUUAUUGAUAAUGAAAGGUUGAAUGAAAAAAAUAAAAAAAAGAAAAGAAAAAAGACAGGUAAAGGUACUUAUUUUAUUUGUUCUAGCAGAAGUCAUAGUAGUUCACGUGACAGUAGCAAUAGCAGUGUUCAUAAUACUUUUAAAAAAAGAAGAAAAGGGCAUAUAGACGUAAACGGUAUGACACACAUAAAAAAUGUGAACGAUAUUAAUUUAUUCCCGUUAGAUAAGAACAUGAACAGUGCAGCCUCUAACUGUGCAAUCUCUAACAGUGCAACCUCUAACAGUGCAACCUCUAACAGUGACAAUCAUAAUAAUAAUAAUAUAAAAUAUAACAUUACGGAGCAAAUAAAUUAUAAAAAAAAUAAUGCAGGAUACUUAUUUAAAAAAAAUAUAAAAAAUAGUCCUAACAAUAUAUAUGGUAGUACUACUGAUACUAAAAAAAUAAAUACAGAAAAAUUGUUUUACCCUGAAAAUAAUUUAUCAAAUAAUGAUAAUUUGUUCGUGAGUGAUUAUUUUAACAAUGAAUAUAAAAAACAUGAAAACAUGACGGACAAUGAACUUAUAGAAACAAUAAAUAACUUAUUAAUUAUGUAUGGAUCAAAUGAAUCAAAUAAAAUUUCAUCAUAUAAUAAAAACAUAAAAGAUUAUUUACGUUUUUUAACUACAUGUUAUUAUGCUAAAAAAAUGAAAAGUAACGAAAUAUCACAUAAUAAUGAUAAUACAUAUAAUAAUAACCCAUCUUAUUUUGAUGAAGAUAAAUGUAGUAUGAUUUAUAAACGGCUUUUGUUUCCUAUUUGUAACAUAAAGGAAUCAGAAAAUGAAAUAAAAUAUUAUACUAAUUAUAACAACAGUCGUAACAAUAAACAAAGUAGUAACAACAUUGAUGACAUUAUAAUCCAUAAUAAAGAUAGAAGUAAUAAUAAUAGUAGUAGUAAUAAUAAUAAUAGUAGUAGUAAUAAUAAUAAUAAUAGUAGUAUUAAUAAUAAUAAUAGUAGUAGUAAUAAUAAUAAUAAUAAUAAUAGUAGUAUUAAUAAUAAUAAUAAUAAUAAUAAUAAUAUAUGUAUUGAAAAUUCAGAUGAUAAUACAUUUUUAAAUACUUACAAUAAUACUAAAAAAAUAAGUAACGUAUCAACAUGUCCUAGUUUAAGAAAAUUGUAUGACAAUAGUCAUUACUUAGUUAACGAAAAAAAUAAAUUAUUAACAUAUUCAGAAUAUAAAGUAAUAAAACAAUAUGAUAAAAAUAUUACUACUAAUAUUACUGAUCAUAAUAAUAAAAAAACAAAGGAUAAUAAAAAUAUAGUUAAUAUAAAAAAAAUAGUUGAACAUAUUGAAAAAAAUGAAAAUGUAAUUAUGAACAAGUCAUGUGAAUGUUUCUGUUAUAAAAAUAAAUCAUGUGAACAUAAUAAGAACAAGAAUAAGAAUCAUGAAAAAUGUAAUAGUUAUAAUAGAUAUAAUAAAUAUAACAAUUAUAAUAACAUUUAUAAAUGUAACAGUUAUGAUAAAAUAAAUCAAAGUAAUACAUAUAACAACAAUCAGAAUUUAUCAUACUAUUAUUUUAAUAAUAUAAAUACUAAUCCGCUUUUUAUACAGACAUACAACAAAUAUAUUCCUCAUUUGAACACAACAAAAAACAUGUCUUAUAUAGACGAUAUAAAAAAUAUACAAUUGAAUUAUAGUAGUGACUUAAAAGAAGAAGAGCAGAAAGAGGAAGAAAACG